rnacentral:rRNA from 1 species
GACGAACGCUGGCGGCGUGCUUAACACAUGCAAGUCGAACGGAAAGGCCCUGCUUUUGUGGGGUGCUCGAGUGGCGAACGGGUGAGUAACACGUGAGUAACCUGCCCUUGACUUUGGGAUAACUUCAGGAAACUGGGGCUAAUACCGGAUAGGAGCUCCUGCUGCAUGGUGGGGGUUGGAAAGUUUCGGCGGUUGGGGAUGGACUCGCGGCUUAUCAGCUUGUUGGUGGGGUAGUGGCUUACCAAGGCUUUGACGGGUAGCCGGCCUGAGAGGGUGACCGGCCACAUUGGGACUGAGGUACGGCCCAGACUCCUACGGGAGGCAGCAGUGGGGAAUAUUGCACAGUGGGCGGAAGCCUGAUGCAGCAACGCCGCGUGCGGUAUGACGGCCUUCGGGUUGUAAACCGCUUUCGCCUGUGACGAAGCGUGAGUGACGGUAAUGGGUAAAGAAGCACCGGCUAACUACGUG